CCGGAAUUCGCACCCAUCCACGUGUGGCAGGAGCGGGGGAACCAGGUAGUUCGCCGUACGGGAAUUCCCGCACGGCUCGGGGUGAAGUCGCGCCAACACGCGGCCGGGCAUCUCCAGUCCGAACCCGACAGCUCACCUCGCAGGCGCCGGAGAGGAAUU
rnacentral:sRNA from 1 species